AGUAAGAACUCAUGCAAAAAUUUGGCCAUCUUAUCAAUCUCAAGGCUUCAUUAAGCAUCUUUACAAUGAUUGCUCCCAAAUACUUGUUUCCAGUCCAGACCUCUACAUGGCUCCAGUCCGCUAUGUCCAAAAGCUCUACCAAUUCCUCCUUUUGGUGUGAAAAAGGCUGCUCAGACUCAGGAUGUCCAAGAAUAAACUCUUAAGCCAUCCUCUCCAAGUCAAGUCCUCUUCCGAUAUGCCAAAUCAGUGAAUAUGACCACCAUCUGUUAUGAUUGCAUGGGCUGCUGUGUGGAGAAUAAAAUCUGUGUGUGGAUAGGGUUGAGGAAAGGUAGAAGAAGGGAUAUCAGUUAUGAACUUGUCUGCACUGAUUCAGAAAAAAAGGAGGGAGAAUUACAGAGAUUCACUUUUGUCCUCACCUAGCCUGUGAUAUGAGGGUUUAAAGGACUGUGGAAUCCAAAAGGCGAAGAGAGAUGGU